AGUCUGCAGUGAGGAAUUUUGAAUAAAUUAACACAUGUCAGACUUCAGAGAUUUUUGGAAAAAAAUCAAUGAGAUAGACAAUUCAUUCCCUGAGCAGAAA